UGGGUGGAAUACCAAAAUAAUUGAAAGCAGGGUCUCAAAGAGAUAUCUGUACACCCGUGUUCAUAGCAGCAUUAGACACAAUAGCCAAAAGGGAAAUAAUCUAAGCAUUCAUUGAGGGAUGAAUGGAAAAACAAAAUCUGACAUAUACAUACAUACAGUGGAAUAUUAUUCAGCUUCCAAAAGGAAGAAAAUGUCUAUAUAGCAUAUAGACAUAUGCUAUAACAUGGAUGCACCUUGAGUACAUUAUGCUAGGUGAAAUAAGCCUGUCACAAAAACAAAUACUGCAUGAUUCCAUUUAAAUGAGGGGCCUAGAAUAUUCAACUUCAUAGACAGAAGGUAGAAUGGUGGUUGCCAGAGGCUGGGAAGAGGGGGUAGGGGUUAGGUUUUAAUAAAUAUCAUUUCAGUUUUACAAGAUGAAGAGAGUUUUGCAGAUGGGUUGUGGGGAUACUUCUACAACAUUAUCAAUGUAUUUAAUACCACUGAAUUGUACACUUAAAAUGGUUGACCUUUUUUGAAAAUGGGAUUGUUGUUAAUGUAAUUAGUUAAGAUGAGGUCAUGCUGUAAUAGGGUGGGCCCCCUAAUCCAAUAUGAUUUGUGUCUUUAUAAAAAAGGGAAAUUUGUGCACAGAGAUAACACAGGGGAUAUGCCAUAUGAAGAUGAAGGCAGAAUUCUACAAGCCCAGGGAUGCCAAAGAUUGCCAGCAAACCACCAGAAGCUAGGAGAGAAGUGUGGAUUAGAUUCUUCCUCACAGCCCUCAGAAGGAUCCAGCCCUGCCAAGAACUUGAUCUCAGACUUCUAGUCUCCAGAACUGUGAGACAGUGCAUUUUGUUUUGUAAGUCAGCCAUAUGGUUUGUGGCACUUUUUUAUGGCAGCCCUAGGAGAUGAAGACAAUAUGCAACAUGGUAUGUCCAUUAUAGGACACUGUGGGCCAUAAAUGUGUUCUUUGGCCUGAAGAAAUAAAACUUGGUGGUCCAAG
rnacentral:lncRNA from 10 species